UACGUAGGGGGCAAGCGUUGUCCGGAUUUAUUGGGCGUAAAGAGCGUGUAGGCGGCCAGGCAAGUCCGCUGUGAAAACUCGAGGCUCAACCUCGAGAGGUCGGUGGAAACCGUCUGGCUAGAGUCCGGAAGAGGAGAGUGGAAUUCCCGGUGUAGCGGUGAAAUGCGCAGAUAUCGGGAAGAACACCCGUGGCGAAGGCGGCUCUCUGGGACGGUACUGACGCUGAGACGCGAAAGCGUGGGGAGCGAACAGG
rnacentral:rRNA from 1 species